AGUGAACGCUGGCGGUAGGCCUAACACAUGCAAGUCGAACGGCAGCACAGUAAGAGCUUGCUCUUACGGGUGGCGGGUGGCGGACGGGUGAGGAAUACAUCGGAAUCUACUUUUUCGUGGGGGAUAACGUAGGGAAACUUACACUAAUACCGCAUACGACCUACGGGUGAAAGCAGGGGAUCUUCGGACCUUGCGCGAUUGAAUGAGCCGAUGUCGGAUUAGCUAGUUGGCGGGGUAAAGGCCCACCAAGGCGACGAUCCGUAGCUGGUCUGAGAGGAUGAUCAGCCACACUGGAACUGAGACACGGUCCAGACUCCUACGGGAGGCAGCAGUGGGGAAUAUUGGACAAUGGGCGCAAGCCUGAUCCAGCCAUACCGCGUGGGUGAAGAAGGCCUUCGGGUUGUAAAGCCCUUUUGUUGGGAAAGAAAAGCAGCAGGUUAAUACCCCGCUGUUCUGACGGUACCCAAAGAAUAAGCACCGGCUAACUUCGUG
rnacentral:rRNA from 1 species